UACAAGCGACUGUCUGAUAUGUUUGCUAUGUUAGGUUGUUACUCAAACUCAACGAUAUAUCAAACAUAUUUGUAUAGUUUCUUGUC
rnacentral:pre_miRNA from 13 species